rnacentral:rRNA from 1 species
CCUACGGGCGGCAGCAGUGAGGAAUAUUGGUCAAUGGACGAGAGUCUGAACCAGCCAAGUAGCGUGAAGGAUGACUGCCCUCUGGGUUGUAAACUUCUUUUAUAUGGGAAUAAAAUGUUCCACGUGUGGGAUUUUGUAUGUACCAUAUGAAUAAGGAUCGGCUAAAUCCUGGCCAGCAGCCGCGGUAAUACGGAGGAUCCGAGCGUUAUCCGGAUUUAUUGGGUUUAAAGGGAGCGUAGGUGGAGUGUUAAGUCAGUUGUGAAAGUUUGCGGCUCAAACGUCAAAUUGCAGUUGAGACUGGCAGUCCAGAGUACGGUAGAGGUGGGCGGAAUUCGUGGUGUAGCGGUGAAAUGCUUAGAUAUCACGAAGAACUCCGAUUGCGAAGGCAGUUCACUGGACUGCAACUGACACUGAGGCUCGAAAGUGUGGGUAUCAAACAGGAGUAGAUACCCUUGUAGUC